UAUUCGCCAGGGGAAUACAUUUGCUUACAGUUGGCAACAAACAUUUCAAAAAUUUCCCUCAGGGCAGCAAAUUUGUCAUUAUCUCUUCUGAUCUGUCUAGUAAGGACAUUGUCAAAUCGAAUUACUCGCAAAAGGAACAAAAAUCGUUCGUAGGCCAUUGCUGCUCUGCAUAUUUCUAUACCAGUGCCAUUUGCAUUCCAAAUUUCUUUGAAAUGCAAAUGCGAUGCACGAUUUUUUCCGAUUAUUAUUAUGAGUCCGAGCAGACAACGGAUUUCAUUUUCAUCUGUAUUGCGGCAAUCUCUCUCCCUGCUAUAAUUUGGCCUGAUGGUCUCAAUAAAAAUAUUUGUGUAUUCAACUAUUUUUUUGAUUAUGUCAAUACUAAUAAAUUUCAAAAAAGCUUCUAAUGGAGUUGGAGUGUUCUUACCAAAUUGUUUAGAACAAGGUAAGUGUGUAAUAAUAUUUAUAGCUCUUGUACGUACCCUUGAUGUUCUCCAUUCUUCCUUUUUCCAUUUGGUCAUUUUAUCUCUUCCAAAGAAGUACGUAGAAUCCUGAUGUGGUUCUUGUUCAUCGUCUUCUUCUUGUUCUGAAUCUGAGCUAUGGGGGAUAUAUUCUUCAUCAUCACUAAAGUUAUCAUCAUCUAGCUCAUCAAAAUCUUCUUCUUCCUCAUCAAACAAGCUAAAAAGUGAUUGAAUAUUUUUGCUAUCCAUUAUAAUAUUGGAUCAAAGUAAGCUUAGAUGAUGGGCAAAGUGAAACUAAAUUGACACUGAAAGGUAGGGGAAAUGACUCAUGGUGCGUGAGAAUUCAGCAGUAUCAUAUUCGGGCUGAUUACAAAACUUUGUUACGUAAGUACUCGCGCAGGUGUGACACACCCCAUUCUAGCAAAAAGAAUAAAUUACAAAUAUAUUCCCUCUAUUAAUUUUGUUGAAAUUUGACAUGUCUAUUUGGCACAUUGAAAUAUUAAGCUAUUGAAAAAUUGGAAGAUUUUGGUUAAGGAUUUAAUGAUUUUCUUGAGGUAAAGUGAUAGCUUGGGGUGUGAUACACCCCGCGCGAGUACUUAAGGGUUAAAGGUGAUUGGCUGUUAAUUCGUCAUGCUAAAAGGUGAUUUGCUCAGUACCUCCAUUGUCGCCAUGAUUGCAAUCUUUCAGGAAGAAGAAGGCUGUCGAGCUUUGAACAAAGAAUUUGAAUCACUGGACGGCGUAACCAGCAUAGAAUAAAGUAAAACUAUUGCAACUCAUUGAUUGUUGGGAAGAAAGAAAAAUUUAUUAUAAUUAAUACAAAAAUUAUAGGUAAAGAAUUAUUUCAAAAGAGAUAUAGAGUUUUGGGUCUCAAGACGCGAGCACGCGACGACAACUUGAGAACAAAGAGAGGGGGGCGAGGGGGGGCCGGAAGUUGCAUCAUGGGCGUGACAUCACCCCUGCAUGGGUGGUGGCUGGCCCGCGCCGCGCGGGGGGAGGGGGGCAUCUUCUUCCGCGGCUUUCUUACAUUUUGAAGGCUCCCAUCUCAAUAUCUCCAAAUAAAAUGAGAAUUAAAACACACACAAAAAAAGGCAGUGGAUCUGCAACAAAGGCCUUUGAACUUUGGAUGAUGCAAUUCUGUACUUUGUGUCUUUCCCAUCUCGCGAGGCCUAACUUUUAUUAAACCUUUAGACGAUACAUUAUACAUAGAUUGUGGUGAGGUUACAUAUAAUCCUGUAUACAGAUUAUCACAUAUACAUACAAUAUGCCAUGAAUUCAAACAUUGGUGCUACCCGAGUUGGGACUUGCAUCUUGUAUAGGAAUCUUUAUUGGAGCUGCUGCCACAACCUGUGGCGUCUGCUCGCUAGAAGGGCCAUCUUCCACGACCACCAGCUUUGGGCCGCUGCGUCUGCUGCUUCCUCUUGUUGAAUUGAGGGGCGGCAGGGUAGGGAUGGAUGCUGUAAGAAUUAGGUUCUUUGGAGGAUAUUACCUGGUGGACAUCCUCAGCAGCACUCUGUGGUGGAAUCUUUGCCAAUUUUUUAGUUAAGCUGUUAGUCACCAUUUGAGCUUCUUGUUGAAAAGGAAUGGAGGUUGCUUGCAGGGGUGUGACAUGGUGUCAGAGUAUGUGAUAUGGACUCCUUAUAGUUUGGAGCGGCCAAAACUGUCUCAGUCGGCCUUGCAGGAGAAGUUGGAACAUGGGUUGGGGUAGCCAAGUGCCCUGGCUGUGGAGCGUCUUUCCUUGGUAUUUAUAUUUCUGCCCCUAUUGUUUGUUCUAAUCUUUUGGGCCUGUUUCCACAGCUAUGCACCCAUAGUGGUGUCUGGGGCUUUUGCAGAUCUUUGAAAGUUUGAGGCACUGGCAUUUAUUACCUGGAGGGGGACAAGCCUUGUUACGUGUUGCACAAGGUGAUGCAGCAACCUGGCUGUUAUUACCUGUAGAUGAACAAACUUGUCAUGUGAUGCACCAUGCAGUGUAACUGGUGUGCAAACAGAGCCCUGAGUGUGUAGCAGCCUGGUGAUGUCAGGAAUGUCUUUGGGUCACAUUCACUAUGAUAUUGUUGACAUUGUGCACUGACUCAAAUCUCGGGAAUCCCCUUUUGGUAACUAGUUCGUGUUUCCUUUGCACAAUAUAGGGACUUCCAGUACCACCCUAGGGACUUUCAACCUCCUUGUUCCAUUUCAUCCAGAGAGAUGCGGAAUAUCUUUCACACAUUGGUAUAUAUCAACAUUUUUGCUUUAUGCAUUUUGUCUUUUUUUUUUUUUUUUUAAUAUUUUGGGCAGGUGAAAAGGGUUCCACAGGGGAAGAACGAACACACCUGGAUGGGGUUGAAAAGGACCUUGCGAUUGGGAGAUUGUUUGACAGAGGUAGCUGGCCUUUCACAUGAUGGAGCGUACACUACCUAGGUUGGAGCCUAUGUAGAGCACACCUAGCUCAUAUCACGGUCACCUACCUUCUUUCUGUUUCUUGUCCGAGAUAAUUGUCAUCGGUUCUCUCGACUUCUCAUUUGUUGAGAUCCUUCCACGUGCUCUCUGAUGAUUCGCUAUUAAUUUGUCAUGCUUAAAGGUGAUUUGCUCAGUACCUCCAUUGUCGCCAUGAUUGCAAUCUUUCAGGAAGAAGAAGGCUGUCGAGCUUUGAACAAAGAAUUCGAAUCACUGGACGGCGUAACCAGCAUAGAAUAAAGUAAAACUAUUGCAACUCAUUGAUUGUUGGGAAGAAAGAAAAAUUUAUUAUAAUUAAUACAAAAAUUAUAGGUAAAGAAUUAUUUCAAAAGAGAUAUAGAGUUUUGGGUCUCAAGACGCGAGCACGCGACGACAACUUGAGAACAAAGAGAGGGGGGCGAGGGGGGGCCGGAAGUUGCAUCAUGGGCGUGACAUCACCCCUGCAUGGGUGGUGGCUGGCCCGCGCGGGGGGAGGGGGGCAUCUUCUUCCGCGGCUUUCUUACAUUUUGAAGGCCCCCAUCUCAAUAUCUCCAAAUAAAAUGAGAAUUAAAACACACACAAAAAAAGGCAGUGGAUCUGCAACAAAGGCCUUUGAACUUUGGAUGAUGCAAUUCUGUACUUUGUGUCUUUCCCAUCUCGCGAGGCCUAACUUUUAUUAAACCUUUAGACGAUACAUUAUACAUAGAUUGUGGUGAGGUUACAUAAUCCUGUAUACAGAUUAUCACAUAUACAUACAAUAUGCCAUGAAUUCAAACAUUGGUGCUACCCGAGUUGGGACUUGCAUCUUGUAUAGGAAUCUUUAUUGGAGCUGCUGCCACAACCUGUGGCGUCUGCUCGCUAGAAGGGCCAUCUUCCACGACCACCAGCUUUGGGCCGCUGCGUCUGCUGCUUCCUCUUGUUGAAUUGAGGGGCGGCAGGGUAGGGAUGGAUGCUGUAAGAAUUAGGUUCUUUGGAGGAUAUUACCUGGUGGACAUCCUCAGCAGCACUCUGUGGUGGAAUUUUUGCCAAUUUUUUAGUUAAGCUGUUAGUCACCAUUUGAGCUUCUUGUUGAAAAGGAAUGGAGGUUGCUUGCAGGGGUGUGACAUGGUGUCAGAGUAUGUGAUAUGGACUCCUUAUAGUUUGGAGCGGCCAAAACUGUCUCAGUCGGCCUUGCAGGAGAAGUUGGAACAUGGGUUGGGGUAGCCUAGUGCCCCGGCUGUGAGGUCUCUUUCCUGAGUAUUUUUAUUCCUGCCUUGUUCUAAUCUUUUGUGUCUGUUUCCACAGCUAUGCACCCAUAGUGGUGUCUGGGGCUUUUGCAGAUCUUUGAAAGUUUGAGGCACUGGCAUUUAUUACGUGGAGGGGGACAAGCCUUGUUACGUGUUGCACAAGGUGAUGCAGCAACCUGGCUGUUAUUACCUGUAGAUGAACAAACUUGUCACGUGAUGCACCAUGCAGUGUAACUGGUGUGCAAACAGAGCCCUGAGUGUGUAGCAGCCUGGUGAUGUCAGGAAUGUCUUUGGGUCACAUUCACUAUGAUAUUGUUGAUAUGGUGCACUGACUCAAAUCUGGAGAAUCCCCUUUUGGUAUCUAGUUCGUGUUUCUCCUUUGGACAAUAUAGGGACUUCCAGUACCACCCCAGGGACUUUCAACCUCCUUGUUCCAUUUCAUCCAGAGAGAUGCGGAAUAUCUUUCACACAUUGGUAUAUAUCAACAUUUUUGUUUUAUGUAUUUGGUGGAAUUAAUCUUGCCUUCGCCCGCACAAGUCUCAGUGGAGACUUUUCCGGGCACACUAUAUCUAAAACACAAGCCGUGUCGGUGGACGCCAAGGCGUAGGUGAAGUGGAGCCGGUGUAGCUCUGUGUAGUCGUUUGUUAGGCCAGAUUUUUCGCCCAGGGAUUUGUUCUUUGGAGUAUGGUGGCCGAGAUUUGUAGUUCUAGAACUUCAAUGCAUGAAGUCUAGCAGUGGGACAGGCAGAGGAGCGGGCUUCGUGGUUGGCAGGGAUUCCUUUGGGGUGGCAUUAGGUGCAUCUUGCUGUGCCAGGGGAGGAUUUUGUGGGGCAUGAGUUGCCUUCGUGUCCAGUUUUGCUACAAUGGUAGCAAAUGGGUUCAGCAGAGGUGCAUCUGUUUGAGUUGUGUCCGAAUCCGCAGCAUCGGAAGCAUCUUCUGAUUCUGAUGGACUCUUCGAAGUGGUGGAUGACGCCUUCUAAGAUGAGUCUUCCUUUUUGGCCUAGAGCCUUGAAGGAGGCCCGGUCAAGUUCCAAAAACACGGUGCUUGUUCCAGAUCUUAGUGCUGAACGGUGAGCCACUCUGAUGAUCUUGUCACCUUGGAUGGCUGCGAUGCCGGGGAUUGCCUUGGCGGAUUCUAUGAUUGAAGGGUCAGAUGUUUCACUGUCGACUCUGAAGAUGCAGACCCUGGGGAGGAGUUCCCGAGUUUCACGGAUCUUUAGGUUGUCUGCAAGUUUUUUGGACAGGGCGGAGCUGAGGUCGGGUAUAAUUUCUGGGUUGGCAGAGUGAAGGACUAAUUUUCCCCUGGUCCUAAGUGAAGCCCAGACUGUGUUCUCGGGGAUUUUGUGGGUGGCGCGGAUGGUCUUGAGGAUUUCCCUUGGGUUGGUAUUUGGGUCGGUUGCUUCAAUGACAACUUUGGAUGCGGAAGAUCGAAGGUGGUCCUGAGUCUUCUUGUUGGUGGAGGACGAGGGUUUGGGAUUGGUAGAAGGCUUGGUGGUUGGUUUAGGUGCCGCUGUUUUGGGGAUGGUUUGUGUAGAGAGGGUGGCCCUUGGGAGUAUCGGUUUGGGGGUUUGGGUGGAAGCAGUGAUGGUUGGAGGGCGGGCAGUAGAAGCCUCAAGGGAUGUAAGCUUCUCCAAGAGUUGGUCGCGUUCGGCAGUCAUGGCUUCCAGUGUUUGGUCUUAUCUUUUUGAGAUUUUUUGAGGUCUGGAAUUUUAAGCUGCAGCUGAAUAGAUUCCAAGACAAGCAAAAUUUAACUUUGUUGUCGAACUAGGAUAUUAGUAGAUUUAACAAACAGGUCUUGAAUGAAAGCCAGCCCACAAGUUGCUUGUGCAGUGAUGAGUUGCUAUCAUGUUUACUCACCCUUGUU
rnacentral:piRNA from 1 species